rnacentral:rRNA from 1 species
UACGGAGGAUGCAAGCGUUAUCCGGAAUGAUUGGGCGUAAAGCGUCCGCAGGUGGCAGUUCAAGUCUGCUGUCAAAGACCGGGGCUUAACUUCGGAAAGGCAGUGGAAACUGAACAGCUAGAGUAUGGUAGGGGCAGAGGGAAUUCCUGGUGUAGCGGUGAAAUGCGUAGAGAUCAGGAAGAACAUCGGUGGCGAAGGCGCUCUGCUGGACCAUAACUGACACUGAGGGACGAAAGCUAGGGGAGCGAACGGG